rnacentral:rRNA from 1 species
ACGCCUUAUACAUGCAAGUCGAACGGAGUAGCAAUACUUAGUGGCAGACGGGUGAGUAACAUGUGGGAAUCUUCCCUUUGGUGAGGAAUAACACGAGGAAACUUGUGCUAAUACCUCAUAAGUCUUUACAGAGAAAGCUUUAUGCGCCAAUGGAUGAGCCCGCACUUGAUUAGUUUGUUGGUGGGGUAAUGGCCCACCAAGACUGUGAUCAAUAGCUGAUCUGAGAGGAUGAUCAGCCACAUUGGGACUGAGACACGGCCCAAACUCCUACGGGAGGCAGCAGUAAGGAAUCUUGCACAAUGGAGGAAACUCUGAUGCAGCGAUGCCGCGUGAGUGAAGAAGGCCCUUGGGUUGUAAAGCUCUUUCGUCGGGGAAGAAAAUGACUGUACCCGAAUAAGAAGGUCCGGCUAACUUCGUGCCAGCAGCCGCGGUAAUACGAAGGGACCUAGCGUAGUUCGGAAUUACUGGGCUUAAAGAGUUCGUAGGUUGUUAAAAAAGUUGGUGGUGAAAUCCCAGAGCUUAACUCUGGAACUGCCAUCAAAACUUUUUAGCUAGAGUUUGAUAGAGGAAAGCAGAAUUUCUAGUGUAGAGGUGAAAUUCGUAGAUAUUAGAAAGAAUACCAAUUGCGAAGGCAGCUUUCUGGAUCAUUACUGACACUGAGGAACGAAAGCAUGGGUAGCGAAGAGGAUUAGAUACCCUCGUAGUCCAUGCUGUAAACGAUGUGUGUUAGACGUUGGGAAUUAUUUUUCAGUGUCGCAGCGAAAGCAUUAAACACACCGCCUGGGGAGU